AAACACGGACGAAGGAGUCUAGCGCGCACGCGAGCCGAGAGGGUAUCACGAUACCCACGGGUGGAAGUUAAAGCGAAAUCGGAGGAACCUCGCUCGCUCGAGCGAGGCGCUCUCCGCGGACACGAGUAGGUGUACCGUGAGCGACCGCGCUGGGACCCGAAAGAUGGUGAACUAUUCCCGGUCGGGACGAAGCCGGAGGAAACUCCGGUGGAAGUCCGUAGCGAUUCUGACGUGCAAAUCGGUCGUCUGAGCUGGGUAUAGGGGCGAAAGACUAAUCGAACCGUCUGGUAGCUGGUUCCUUCCGAAGUUUCCCUCAGGAUAGCUGGUGUCGUGGCCGAAACGUGAGUCGUAACGCGGUAAAGCGAAGGAUUAGAGGUAUUCGGGGCGUAUAUCGGUCCUCGACCUAUUAUCAAACUUUAAAUUCUUACGGGCCGGGGAGUGUGCGGAAGACGCUCCCUCGGUAUUGGAUCGUUUCGGCUAGCCCAGUGGGCCACUCUUGGUAAGCAGGACAGGUGCUGCGGGAUGAACCGAACGCGGGGUUAAGGCGCCCAACUCGAUACCGAUCAGAUACCAGGAAAGGCGUUGUUCGCUAGAGACAGCGGGACGGUGGCCAUGGAAGUCGGCAUCCGCGUAGGAGUGUGUAACGACUCUCCUGCCGAAGCGAGUGGCUCUGAAAAUGGAUGGCGCUAGAGUAUCGGGCCUAUCCCCCGCCUCCG
rnacentral:rRNA from 1 species